rnacentral:piRNA from 1 species
UUCAAAGUUGUUGGGCAUCUUCGGGUUC